rnacentral:lncRNA from 1 species
GGAGCCCCGGGACACUCAGGGGUAAGUGACAAAAAAAAAAAGCUGCCCGUCCAUAGAUAGGACGGGAGCAAAUCUGCUCGUCCCUAGAUAGGGCGAGAGGAAAAAUGGCCAUUUUGAGAAAAUGGAGAAGAUUGAUGCAGUAUGUUUGUGUCUUGUUUUGUCUCAGUGUAUUGUAUUGUCUUUGUGACGAAAAUAUGGAAGGGGUGAGAAGUAAAUUGAUAAGGGAAAGAGGCACCCCAGUGG